rnacentral:rRNA from 1 species
CUGACACAGGUGCUGCAUGGCUGUCGUCAGCUCGUGUCGUGAGAUGUUGGGUUAAGUCCGUAACGAGCGCAACCCUUGUCCUUAGUUACCAGCACGUUAUGGUGGGCGACUCUAAGGAGACUGCCGGUGACAAACCGGAGGAAAGGUGGGGAGUGACGUCAAGUCAUCAUGGCCCUUACGGCCUGGGCUACACACGUGCUACAAUGGUCGGUACAAAGGGUUGCCAAGCCGCGAGGUGGAGCUAAUCCCAUAAAACCGAUCGUAGUCCGGAUCGCAGUCUGCAACUCGACUGCGUGAAGUCGGAAUCGCUAGUAAUCGUGAAUCAGAAUGUCACGGUGAAUACGUUCCCGGGCCUU